GUGAGCGCCAACCCGCGACACAGAACUCCAAUGGCACUGCAAGAGAGAGGUCACUCAAACUGCGGGGGACAACACAGGUAGGUACUUCACAGGCAACUGGGGCUCUAUUCUCACUUUAGUGAUUCGUAGCAAUGGACAAAGGUAAGUAUUUCACAGGCAACUGGGGCUCUAUUCUCACUUUAGUGAUUCGCAGCAAUGGACAAAGGUAAGUAUUCCACAGGCAACUGGGGCUCUAUUCUCCUAGAAUACUUCUCCUGGGCGGUGGGCUUACGGUGAAAUACUGCGAUACAGUAAGUAGAUGAACUGUCAGACCUGGAGUAGUAAAUCGUCGUAGCGCAGGCCUCCA